CGGCAAGAGCUCAAAUUUGAAAGCUGGCCCCCUCGGGGUCCGCAUUGUAAUUUGCAGAGGAUGCUUCGGGAACGGCCCCCAUCUAAGUGCCCUGGAACGGGCCGUCAUAGAGGGUGAGAAUCCCGUCUGGGAUGGGGUGGCCGCGCCCGUGUGAAGCUCCUUCGAC
rnacentral:rRNA from 1 species